UACGGAGGGUGCAAGCGUUAAUCGGAAUUACUGAGCGUAAAGCGCACGCAGGCGGUUUGUUAAGUCAGAUGUGAAAUCCCCGAGCUUAACUUGGGAACUGCAUUUGAAACUGGCAAGCUAGAGUCUUGUAGAGGGGGGUAGAAUUCCAGGUGUAGCGGUGAAAUGCGUAGAGAUCUGGAGGAAUACCGGUGGCGAAGGCGGCCCCCUGGACAAAGACUGACGCUCAGGUGCGAAAGCGUGGGGAGCAAACAGG
rnacentral:rRNA from 1 species